ensembl:lncRNA
CUCAACACAGCAUUUGAGGUGCAGUCGCACUCACAGCGCCUGCACAGUGAGACAUGUACUCAUGCGUGGAGCUUUUCAGGAAAACAAUUCAACCACAUCAGAGAGUAAAGGAUACCCAUCAUGAAUCUAUCUAAGCACUUUGCCAGAAGCUAGUGCUUAAGCCAUGGCCAGAUGCAUCCCAUCAUGCCUUUAUGUUUCAUCUGCUUUAAAAUGAUGACCUGUGACUUGGAGUGGGUAAGGAACAGAGUUUCAGCUCACAUGGCUUCCUUCAAAGAGGCAGGUGGUGAUCUGCUGCUAGAAUAAAUAAAUUUCAGGAAGUGCCAAGGCUGCUCAGCCAUUUACUGUGAUAUCACUUCUACAUAAGGAACUUACCAACUUUCUCCAAUUAUCUCCUCUAUUACGAUGACACGUAGGUUGAAUUCAAAAGUGCAGGAAAAGAGCUCUGCCUGCAAAAGGAGCCUGCACUCUGGAGGGUUUGCUCUAAACUAUUGUGAGACCUCCGGCUACAACACAGGACAUGGGAGCUUUUCUGAACCCUCGUGUCUUGUGUUGCAGCCAGAGGGGCACAUCUUUUCAACAGAGUCUGAGACAAGUAGAAGAAACCGUCAUGAAAGAGGUGUAAAGAGAGAGUGAGAAACGGGUGCGGGACUUCACUGAACAUCUGAGAGAAGCAGACUCAGGAAUGUGAUCCAUGGCAUUAGCUUAUGGAGCUCCCAAAUCCAGAGGAGAUGUCAGAUUUCUGCCAGUCCUUGCAUGCAGAUUGAGAGAUCUGAAUCAGAUCCAGGCUUGUCUGCCUCCCUCAUCCACAUACUCAUUAAAAUCAUCAGAACUAAGGGUGUGAGAAGGAUGGGGCCUCAAGUGUCCAACAGUGAAAAGAUGGUGGUGCACGUCUCAAAAGCAAGACAGGUCAGAUUUCAGACGAAGUAGGGAAAACUGCUGAAGCAACACAGGCAUCCAACACCAGUCCCACCAAGGUAGGUGUGAAACUAUCUCAUCGCUGAGAUUCCUCUCUCUCAUUGCUGAGGAUGCAGCUUCAACCGCAACACAUCCCAUCUUUGAUUAUCGAGAUUAUGGAGCUGCUUGUAUCUUUCUAUGACGGAUCUAGUGCUGACACCCUUAAAUACAGGUUUUCAGCACUACUAAGAACAGGAGCUCCCAGCAACAUCAUUUUGGACAUCCAUGCACAUGAAAAGAAUGUGGUGAAGCAGCCCUGGGGAGGGAGGAGAAUGGAGAAGACCUGCCCAGUGUUCCACCAGUUUCCCGUGCAGGUCCACAUCUCUCAUAGGAAGCUGCCACUUCAUGGCAAGGAGCUGGUCUGAGCACUGUGUCCUCCACUGGCUGAACUAGGAAAAGGUUUGCAUCCACGGGCAGCAUGGUUUGGCAUGGAAAAGCACAGAUGGGCUCAGAAACUGUCUCCAAGCUGCUCUUGACAAGUAAAAUUGACAGCAGGACCUUGCAGUUAGAAGCCAGGCACAGGAACACGAGGUCAAGAGAAGUCAGCUGCACGAUUCCCUUUGAUUUCUAUGAGAUGAGAGUUACAGCUGGAAUUCUGGAUUCGGUUUCCACCUCUUCUCCAUACCUUCACUGUGCUUUCAGCAAGUGCAGCCAGGUACCCAGCUGCCUAAAUUCCAUAGCCUGAAAAUUUUGCUCAAGGGACUGCUGUUCACCAGGUCUGCAGCAUAUGCUUCCUUCAGCCCUUGUUCUGCACAGCAAAAGCAAACGGGAUCCCACUGAACGCCUUCCUGCCACCUCUAACUGAAACGCUCUGCAUACUUUUGCUCCCCAAAGUUUGUAUGGCUCAAAUAAAAUUGCUUACUUGAAAGUUAAGGUUUGUCAAUGAUUUCUGACUUUUUUUUUAAAGAAGGUAGUGGUGUUUGUUUCUUUUCCUUCUCCAUGAUCAUUCAAGUGUUGGUAAGGGGCAAACUUUGAGCACAAGUUUUAUAUUUCUCAGGAAAUGAAUGUAUUUCCCUUGCUUUUCUAAAAUAUCAUACUUUCAACUUUGAGUUAUUUAUCCAAAUAUUUCUAUUCCCCGCUGUAUUCUGAACGUUUGAUCUAUGUGAGGCAAUGCUCUGUUUAACCUUGCUUGUACUGAAAGCAAUAAAAUAUAAAAUGAAUAGGUGGAAAGGGAUAGUAAAUCCCCACUGAGAAAUUAUCUGGCAGUUUCUGAGUCAUGGGAAGAUAUCAACAAAGUGAAAUUUAUUUAAUAUUGAUGAAUGGGACAGUAAUGCACCUAGGGAGAAAUAACAGCAAUCAACACAGAUAUUUAGGAGACAUUAAUAUAGAAAAAGACCUUGGGGUUGAAGCGGAUAAUUAAGUGCAUAAGAGCUCACAUUGCAAAACAAGCAAUCGGUGUUCCAGAGCGUGCAGCGUCAAAAGAGAUGUGCCGUGCAGCAAAGUGAGGGAUAAGUGCGGCACAACUUAGCCUGAGUAAGACUGGAGCUGGGGUGGGGUAUGAAUUUUUCAGCCUCCUCUUUUUAAGAAGACACGGGAAAGUGGCAGAGAAGUAAAAGACGGGUAGUAGAAAUGACAAAGAGAGCUGCGGGCAUUGCGUGUGAAGGCGCGGCGGAAAGUAAUUCAUUCAGCAGGAGGGAGCAGCGCCAGCCCUCCUGUCUGUGUGCCGCACGAAUGGACUUUCCCUGCAGCAGCAAUGGUAAAAGGGUCUCAAAUUAAAAAUGGAACAACUCCAUUUAGAUACAAGAGAAAUGACUUAAUACUAAGGGCUGUUACAUGGGCAAUGGAGUAAGCUGUCUGGUGAGCAGCUGAACACAAGGCACCGUCAAUAGAAGGUUUCUGGGGUGAGACUGGAAAAAGUGCCGGUGGGAUUACUGCAGAAGAGGCUUCUCAGCAUGAGCAUGGCUAACACAAAGGUCCUUUGCUGUCAUUUUCAUCGACACUUCUGGGAUCUCAAAGGCUGUGCACAAUAAAAGAGACAAUAUGUCCAGAUUUUAAUGAAAUCCAUCUGCCACGCUCGGUGAGACUACAUGGUGACUGGGACGAGAGGUGCAGCCCUGCAAGCCUCACCUCUGUAUCCCAUCUGCUCUACAGGCUUUCACAGGAGUGGGCCCGGGAGCUGAAGAUGCUGCAGAGGUGGGUUAUAGCCAUGUGCAUUUUCAGAGAAGCUGGCACAGCUCCUGCCUAUUUUGAAACGUUUGCUUCUGGAAUUUGUGAUGCUUGAACCAGUUAAAUACUAGAUUAUCGUAAGUGUAAUUUACAUGUUUCCCAAGUAAGGGAAUGCGAGUGGAGAAGAGAAUUUCUGAAUGUUCGUAUUUCCAAAUUAAACCAGUGUAAAUGAGCCUUCUGUUCGAUUCAGUGUGUAACGCAUUAUUUCAUGGCUGUCUCCUCAAUAUUACAGGCCCCUUUUACAUCAAGCAGUGUCAUACCCCAUCCAAAUCACUGUGAGAUAAAGAUGUUCCCCUUUAAUGUAAUAAAGGACUACAACAAUACUCCAAC